AAAUAAGAAACAAAUUAUUGUAUUUAGUUUCGACCUAAAAUUAUGGUGAAAUUUUCACCCUUAUUUA
rnacentral:tRNA from 1 species